AUUGAACGCUGGCGGCGUGCCUAACACAUGCAAGUCGAGCGGUAACAGGUGUAGCAAUACAUGCUGACGAGCGGCGGACGGGUGAGUAACGCUUGGGAAUCUGCCUAUUAGUGGGGGACAACCCGGGGAAACUCGGGCUAAUACCGCAUACGCUCUACGGAGGAAAGCCGGGGACCGCAAGGCCUGGCGCUAAUAGAUGAGCCCAAGUCGGAUUAGCUAGUUGGUAGGGAAUGGCCUACCAAGGCGACGAUCCGUAACUGGUCUGAGAGGACGACCAGUCACACCGGAACUGAGACACGGUCCGGACUCCUAUGGGAGGCAGCAGGUGGGGAAUAUUGGACAAGUGGGCGAAAGCCUGAUCCAGCGACGCCGC
rnacentral:rRNA from 1 species